rnacentral:ncRNA from 1 species
CUCUUAUACAGAGAGGGGGAGGGACUGGCCCUAUGAACCCUCGGCAACCAUUGAAUUGACUCAAACGGUGCCAAUUCCAGCAGAUCCUUGUGACAGGGUCUGAAAUAUAAGAG